UGGGUGCCGGCGGUAAUUCCGCCUUGCUUACGCAGAGCACCUCGCCUGGGAAACAGCCGCAAGGCCGGGUACCUAAAGAGAUUGGCGGGAGCUUGUUGAAACGGUGGGGUAUGUGGUUUAAUUCGACAAUACACGGGGCACCUUACCAAUCGUAGUGAAGGCCGAGGCCUGCGUUAACACGCAGCCAAGGGACGGCCUUCCAGAGGCGCUGCAUGGCUGUCGUCAGUUCGUGCUGUGAGGUGUGGCCUUGGGUCGCCUAACGAACGCAACCCGCGCAGUUAUUGGAGUCUGGGUGCGAAGGCCUAUGCCCUCGACCCAGCUUAUAGUAAUUGAGGUAGAGCAGGCCCUGAAGCCACGCAAAUAAAUGCAAGCUACAGUUGGCCAGCUCAAAAGCGGCGGAAGUCAAGUCAAUAUGGCCUAUAUCGAUUGGGCGACACACGUGCCACAAGGGUUGCCUCAACGGGCCGUAUCAGCGAAAGCUGCAACGAUCCCCCAACAGCAGCCUCAGUUCGGAUUGCGCAUUGCAAGUAAUGCGCAUGAAGCUGAAACCGUUAGUAAUCGUGCAUCAUGACGUCACGGUGAAGCAAAAUCAAGCUCUGCACACACCGCCCGUA
rnacentral:rRNA from 1 species